UCUAUGAAAGAAAACAUAAAGAGAGAAGACGAUUAAGCGCAAAAUCUUAUAAAUUGUCUUCGUUUGGAUUGGAAGUAGCCUGUGCAGUGUGCAAUUAUUGAGCGAUGGAAAAAAAUCUUAAGAGAACUUCAAAGGAAAACUGUGAGGCUGGACCUUUGAAAAGCAAACGUGAAUACUCAAUGAUUGCGAAUGAUCGCAAUUGACGUGCAACCGUUUAGUGUUGUCAAUGAUAGAGGAUUUCGUGAGUUGUUAGCAGAAAUGGACCCCCGCUACAAGUUACCAAGCAAAACCCAUCUCCGUAACGUAGCGAUUCCAAACGCAUAUGCAGAUUUGAAAACAAAACUUAAAUUUGCCUUGGAUUGCGUGGAAAAUGUGGCGAUCACAGCCGACGGAUGGACGUCC